rnacentral:rRNA from 1 species
GAUGAACGCUGGCGGCGUGCCUAAUACAUGCAAGUAGAACGCUGAAGGAGGAGCUUGCUCUUUCCGGAUGAGUUGCGAACGGGUGAGUAACGCGUAGGUAACCUGCUUGGUAGCGGGGGAUAACUAUUGGAAACGAUAGCUAAUACCGCAUAACAGUAGAUAUUGCAUGAUAUUUGCUUGAAAGGGGCAAUUGCUCCACUACCAGAUGGACCUGCGUUGUAUUAGCUAGUUGGUGAGGUAACGGCUCACCAAGGCGACGAUACAUAGCCGACCUGAGAGGGGGAUCGGCCACACUGGGACGGAGACACGGCCCAGACUCCUACGGGAGGCAGCAGUAGGGAAUCUUCGGCAAUGGACGGAAGGCUGACCGAGCAACGCCGCGUGAGUGAAGAAGGUUUUCGGAUCGUAAAGCUCUGUUGUAAGAGAAGAACGAGUGUGAGAGUGGAAAGUUCACACUGUGACGGUAUCUUACCAGAAAGGGACGGCUAACUACGUG